AGUUUCCACCUUGCUCCAGUGAAGAUAAAAGGAAAAGCAAGCUGAAGUUUCAUCAAGCUUUCGAACAGGUCAAAACAUUGACUUGCUGAUGCCUUGCACAAUGAAAAGCCCCCACGCAUGUAGUGGUAGCCUCAUUAGCCUUCUGAGAUUCUACUCUCUCCUCUCUUUUCUUCUUUUCUCUGCAGAAUUAAUAUAUAUAAAGAAAACAUUAGCUACCUCAGAAGUAAAUAAGCUUUCAUAAAAUUAAGCCACAGCUUUAAUAGUUAACUCANNNNNNNNNNNNNNNNNNNNNNNNNNNNNNNNNNNNNNNNNNNNNNNNNNNNNNNNNNNNNNNNNNNNNNNNUUUCAUCUAUUUUUUUUCUACAGAUGAAUAAGACUACUAGGAGCAGGGAGCUUGGUGUUAUUCAGGGUUGGGGUAACUGAAAAUGUUAUGUAAUAAUUAAUUUUAGUAAGCUCUGUACUGUUCCAACUUCAUGAAUAAUGUUAUGACACUAGUAAAUGAAACUAUCUAUUUUUAUUAUGAAAUUUAAAUGGCUUCGUGUUAUUGUGUACAUAAGAUUGCAAUAGCACGGCCGUGUCAUGAUCCGGAUUUGGGGCGUAACAUUAUGAGAACAGAGUAAAACGAGUUGCAAGAUUUUCUUUCAGGAUAAAAAAUUUACCUAGCAACAUACUCCUUCAGAAGCUCCUUGGCCUGGACCAAUUUUGAAAGAAGAUUGCGGUAUACAUCGAGGUCCCUAUCCACACUUUGUUUGUCUAUGUUUAAGGCAGCACAAAGCUGUCAAACAGAAAGAACUGAGUCAGCAUGAACCCACAAGCUGGGAGAAACUGGAUUUUCAUGAACCAAUGGACCUUAUACUGAGCUUUUUUUUUCUACCAUUUGGACAAACAUAAAUACCAACUAGUUAGACCAAAUGAUCUGAAUCCAUAUUUUUCAAAUGAGAAUGAAACCUUAAAUAAUGAUCUAAAUAUUACAUAAAAUUGAAUGCAGAAAAUUGACUAAUCACGGCUGAGUUGAAAAUGAUACAUUGAAAUAAGCAUUUCCUUACAAAAUAAGUAAUUUCCAAGCAGAAGCUUAUAGGUCAAUGUAUGAAUGAUUUUUAUUUUUUAAGGAAGCAAAAAUAGAAUAUUUCAACUAGAAUUCAUGGAGGUUAAUAAGUGGUGUAUCUACCUAGAGAUCCACUGACCAAACCAAGUGUUAAAGAAAUGAUGAAUAGAAGUGACUUGAGUCUCCCAAUAGAGUUUAUUUGGAUAGUAGUAAGCAUAUAAUGUGCUUCCUAAAAAUGCCAGAGUGAAGCUCAGGGGAAAAAUGUAAAACUAAAUUCUAGCAUUUUUUGAAUAUUAAUCCAACAUCUACCUAUCUGAUUAUUCAAUAUAGAUAUGUUCAAAAAAAUUGGUUCAUUAUCCUCUAGGCUUGCACAUGUGCUACUUCUGUUUCAACUUCUAACAUUUUUCCUGUAACAAGACAUGUCUGGACACAAAAGAAAGUACACAUAAAAAAAAGCCAUGUUAUAAUAAAGUUUCUUCAUAACAUUUUGGGGUACUCUCUUAGCUUGGCAACAUUGUGCAGUCAGCAUAAGCUCUAAAUAUUGAGUGUAAACAAGAACACCAAAUUUCCUAACACUAAUCCAAGGCUUUUCUUUUUUUCGGGUGAAAUGGGUAAUUCACACAACCCUUUAUCAGAGUACAAGAAUUCACGGAAAUGCCUCGAAGAGCAAGCAUCAGGGUCCCACACAAAGUUACCCAAGUGAUCUGAUAACACUAAUCCAAGGCUCAAAGUGCACAUCAUGACGAACAUAAAUGCCAGCACUGUGUCAACAGGUUCUAAUGGUGCAGGGAUAUGCACCAUUCUAUAGAUUAUGCUGGCCAAUAUCCAUGUGCAUCAACUCUUGCAGAUGCACACUGAAGCAAUAUACUCAUAGAAGAUACUGAUUCCCAUUUUAAACCUAUGCUCACCAUUUUUUGCAGCCUUACUCUAUUUCUAGAUUACCUGGGAUUCAUGCCCUCAGUUUUUUUCUAUUUUUAUUUAGAGGAUUUAAGUAUCAGUCUACAAAUUGGAAAUGGUAAUCGCAAAGUCACUCUGAAUUUCACAAAAGAUAAAGGCAAUACAUUAACUUUUCAUGGUACUGUCAAUAUGUAAUUAUCCUACAGUACUUGCAAUACAUUUACAUUGCCUAAGAUCAACAUACUCCUUCAGAAGAUCCUUGGCCUGGACAAAUUUUGAAAGAAGAUUGCGGUAUACAGUGAGGUCCCUAUCCACACUUUGUUUGUCUAUGUUUAAGGCAGCACAAAGAUAUGCUCUUGUUAUCUUAGUUAUCCCCAUAAAGAAUUUAAGGCCUAUAUUUCUUUUUCAAUGUGAGAAAUAUAAACAUGUAACGUUAGCUUGUUCAUUAAAUUACUUGAACCCAUUAUUUAAAAAGCUGCUGACUGGGCCACCAAGACUGAAGAGGUCCUUUGACAAUGCCACAUAGAGGCGAACCAUUUAGGUGGACAAUCAAUCUGGCCAGCUAGCUAGUCAGUACGUAAGCACCUGACUAGGCCUCUGCAGGAGACAGAAAUCAGGUUUGGACUAUACUCUCAGACAGAUAUAGGUACUAAGCAUGUCGAGUGGGUAUAUUAGAAUCUCCAGUUAUUGGUGCUCCAACUCUUUGGUUACUACCUACCAAUUUUACUAAUUCUUGAUUAGUUCUUUAUAUAUACUUAUAGAUAAUUCAUCCUUUGGUAGAUUUGCUUAUUGCAUUAGCUCAUCCAUUGGCAUGUCAUGUUAUACUGAAAUAUGUCCUAAAAUUUACAUAAUAACGAAAUAAAGACAAUGUAAAGAACAGAGACGAACAGAAAAUCUAGUAGAGACAAUUCCAUAGUUGCUUGACCAAGAAUAAAUAAAUUAAUGCUAGCUAAAAUAUCAGUUAUAAGACAGCCCAAUUCAUAAGCAACAGCUAUCUCUAGUAUAACAAUUUAGUACUAAAAUGAGUACAACGAAAUACAGAAGACAAAGUGUGGGUAAAUGUCAGCAAACAUGAAGAAAGGACAACCUUUUCUAAGAUCGUUGGUUCUGUUGCAUUUGCCUGCUCAAGCAGACGAAAUAGUCCAAUUGCAAAGAAUCGACUAUAGCUGAAAUUUCCCUUACCCUGAGCCCGUUCAGAAAUAUUUUUCAAAAUAUCUUCAACCUCUCCUUCUCUCGAAGAAAAAUCUGCUAAUGAAUUAGCAUUUUGAGCACGAGCC
rnacentral:lncRNA from 1 species